rnacentral:rRNA from 1 species
GGACAUUGCAUUGUGGGGGUGUGGCUACAGGGAUCUGUCCUUCGGCCAUCCAAUUGCCCUGUUUGUCGUCGCCCCAUAACGCUGCUGGUACCUUCUGAAGUUGCUUCCCUGCUGCGUGAUGAGCCAGAAAUCGCUCCUGUCAUGAACCGAAUUCAGCAGUACAAUGGCCGUUUUGCUGGAGUACCUCACAGUAUGAUACAGUGGUUGCUGGACCAGCCCUUUUACAUGAGGAGGAUGCUGGCAGAAUUCAGAGACACACGCCAAGAACCUCCCUCCCCCUUCAAAAUCCAAGUCGCAUUGGCAGCAACCCUCGCUCUGGUGUACCUCGCGAGCCCUAUUGACCUUUUCCCUGAAGCUUUCCUGGGGUGCCGUGGUCUGCUGGACGACAUCCUAGUGCUCAUCGUCGCGUACGCCUUCAUCUGCGCCGCCUACCGGGAUAUCCUCGUUGCCCGACACGCCGUGUGA